AGCUUAGUCACGAAGGAACAAAAGAAGUGGGGACACAGUUUGCCUACGUGUCGUAUUUCGUUUGAGCUGAGCGUGUGAGGAGCCAAUAAUUUGAAAAGGUGCUUACGUGGAAGCACGUUCUUAGCUCGGUUCCGGCUUUGCUGAUGAGCUGAAAUUGAUACCGUUGAAUCUAAAUUUACGUGAUAUUAUUUAAUUCAAUAUCAAAUUUAAGAAAGAAUAACAUUUUAAAAUUUAGUAGAUAGUCGUAAACCUUGGAAUUUGUGUGAAUAUAACUCGUUUUAAUAAAGAUUAAAAAAAAGAAAUUAAAAUUAAAUAAUUUAUAAUUUUAGAAAGAUGAUAAUGUGCAUCUUUUAAUUAAAAAAGAAUAAAUAUUCUAGGUAAAUUGAGAGUUCUUAAGAGAGUGAUGGACUCUCUGGCAUUAUGUUUAUCCAGUGUUAAUACUACGAAGAAGCGAAGUACUUGAUAUGUGCUUAGGUCAUCAUUUGUUUUUCCUCAAGAUUAAUUGUUACUUGCAAUACUUAGGGGACAAUGUUAUUAUAUAGUUUUGAAUUUAUCUGAAUUUAAUGGAUCAUGAUUAAUAAUUGUAAAAUACAAAUGAUUUAGUAUUUAAAAGUUAAACCCAUAAAUUUUAAUCCUAAAUCCGUAUUUGCUUACGGAACUAGUAGUAUAUAAUAAACAUACUAAAAUGGUGUUGAGUGCUGAUAUUACUAGCAAGUGCAAAUAUAUCACUAGUCUGUUGUUUGGACCACAAAUAACAUAGUGGAGAUAGAGGAAUGAAUAACAUUUUUGAAAGUGCCCUCAUCUCCAUUUAUUAGUAGUCAACUUGAUUUUUUCUAUCUGCUGUAAUUAAAAACAACAUAUUAUAUUAUAUUAUAAACUCUUUGACCUUAUCUAUUUUAUGGUGUGCGCAACUGUGGAUGCGUGAUAAAAUCUCACUGGACUACUGUAGUCUGUAGGUAAUAAAAACAAAAUAAAAAAACAGUAAUAAUGUGUAGGGCUUGUGCGUAAAGCCUUAUCCCAAUCGUUAUUAUUGCGUCCUUGUUCUUUCGAGGCUUUGAUGGAAGGACUUAGUAACUAGUACUGUUCUUGUUGGCAAUUAUUUAUGAUAAAAUAAAAUAAAAUUAUGACAACUCCUUUAUAGAGCCUGAAUUACUUUAUAUAUUGUCACGAAUUUGACAAAUUGUGCACCUAUGAUAUGAACCUGUAAUGGGAGGACUCAUGGUUAGGUCAAAGACUUUUAGGGCAGUUUGGCCAUGCAAUAUAGAAUUAUGAUAUGAUAUUAUAAUAUGGAAUUAUGAGAUAAAAUUGAAGUUUUG
rnacentral:lncRNA from 1 species